AACAGUGUAUGAUCGCUGGAUGAUUCGCUUUAAGUCUAAUACUGCGGGUAAUGGAGUCGCCAAUGACUAGAGUUUUCAAUUUGUCAGAGCUAAUGGUGGGAAGCUUCGGCGUCUCAGACCCCGUAACGGGAGGAGUAGAGACCAGAGAAGACUCGGCCUCUGACACCGACCCGCUGCUUAAUGGGGAAAACCGGUUGAAAGUUUCUGUCUGCUGAAUGAGCGACACCGGUUGAGCUUUCCUACAGCAUUUCCGACUACAUCAUGUGUGGAGGUUAGUACCCUUCAGAGACUACAUCAUGUGUGGACGUUAGUACCCUUCUUCAGGGACUACAUCAUGUGUGGAGGUUAGUACCCUUCAGGGACUACAUCAUGUGUGGAGGUUAGUACCCUUCAGGGACUACAUCAUGUGUGGAGGUUAGUACCCUUCAGGGACUACAUCAUGUGUGGAGGUUAGUACCCUUCAGAGACUACAUCAUGUGUGGAGGUUAGUACCCUUCAGGGACUACAUCAUGUGUGGAGGUUAGUACCCUUCAGGGACUACAUCAUGUGUGGAGGUUAGUACCCUUCAGAGACUACAUCAUGUGUGGAGGUUAGUACCCUUCAGGGACUACAUCAUGUGUGGAGGUUAGUACCCUUCUUCAGAGACUACAUCAUGUGUGGAGGUUAGUACCCUUCUUCAGAGACUACAUCAUGUGUGGAGGUUAGUACCCUUCUUCAGAGACUACAUCAUGUGUGGAGGUUAGUACCCUUCAGAGACUACA